GAUGAACGCUGGCGGCGUGCCUAAUACAUGCAAGUCGAGCGAACAGACGAGGAGCUUGCUCCUCUGACGUUAGCGGCGGACGGGUGAGUAACACUUGGAUAACCUACCUAUAAGACUGGGAUAACUUCGGGAAACCGGAGCUAAUACCGGAUAAUAUAUUGAACCGCAUGGUUCAAUAGUGAAAGACGGGUUUGCUGUCACUUAUAGAUGUAUCCGCGCCGCAUUAGCUAGUUGGUAAGGUAACGGCUUACCAAGGCCACGAUGCGUAGCCGACCUGAGAGGGUGAUCGGCCACACUAGAACUGAGACACGGUCCAGACUCCUACGGGAGGCAGCAGUAGGGAAUCUUGCGCAAUGGGCGAAAGACUGACGGAGCAACGCCGCGUGAGUGAUGAAGGUCUUCGGAUCGGAAAACUCUGUUAUUCGGGAAGAACAAAUGUGUAAGUAACUAUGCACGUCUUGACGGUACCUAAUCAGAAAACCACGGCUAACUACGUG
rnacentral:rRNA from 1 species